AUCAGUACGUAGUCGCUGUUGGUAUUUGCUGCUUCCUCACAUUUUUGUCGCACCUCGCUCACAAGCUCUAAUCAUCUGUCUGCAGGAUUGCUCGGUUCGGAAAGUGUGGAUUAGUUCCUUCCUUCCUACUCGCUCUCACACUGACAGGAAACACAACAGGGAAUUAUGGCUGCCUGACGCUGCUGUGAGUGGGGUUCUGAAAUAUAUUUGAAUAUAAACUGGCAAAAUGUAAAAAAAAAAAAGGAUAUUGUAAGCUUGUUAUUGUUAGAGCCAAUGCAGCGGUGUCUGUUGUCUUUGAAGGGAUCUGUUGAUUUAUAUGCCUCUUCAUCCCAAAAUGGCCUCAUUAGAGAGGAUUCUUCCUCUGCAGAGACAUUUCUCCUCAUACUGAGUCACAACACAGAGUCGUGCUGGGCUUUAAGAUGUUUGUUUGAAGCGCUGCCUGCCCUAAUUUCUGUCACACCCCCUCUUGGUGUAAUGCUGCAACCUGAGCACAAGCUGGAUUGAGAUGGAUCGACGCCCGACCAACUGUUAUCGUCCUGUUUCUACAUUUCUUAUUUGCUCAUUUUUGGUCUCUGUGGGUGUCGCCUGGGGGAAUUAUUUGACAAGGCAGCUGUCAACCGGGCAGCCCAGCGGAGCCGGGCAGCCUGAAAUGUGGAGAGCUAUUUCUAGGAGCCCAGAGAAGACAGGAAUGAGGCUCAGGGUAGAAGCCGUGGCACAGGCUAAACAUCAUAGACACGCGCCACGGCCACGGCAAGAACUGCAGGAAGGAGAGCAUGUGUGGGGUUACGCGUUUCCAAAUGUGUUGAUGAGGGACAAGGACGCAGCAACUAAAGAGAGGGAGCAGGAUGAGACCUGAUACGCAGCCACGACGGUAUAAAGGAUGAGUCAUGAACGGUGACGUAGAUGAUGUCAGGUAAGCAGCACCCGCGGCCCAGCGUCUGCAGCUGAGCAGGAAAUAAAACACCAGCUCUUAAUCAAUGACUCCUGUAACUCUGGGUUAUGUCAUUUUAUGCUACAUUUCCCACGAGGCUAAAGAUCAGUGAAUGCAGGUUUACCGAUGCGAUAAAUAAUACGCUGCAUAUUGUUUAUUACAUCAUUAAACCUCCACAUUGUGGCAAUAACCUGGAGAAUAUGCUUUUAUUUCACAUCUUGGUGACAACUGGCGAAUGCAAACCAGUGCAACUCUUCAAAAGAACAACCCAGUGUUCUGUAAAACCCAGAAUCUUACAUCCCCUCAGUCAUUUUUUAAAGUUCAAUACAUAUUAAAUCAUUCUUGCUUUUGAUCUUCUGUGAAAACGGCCCAGUUUUUAAUGCAGCUGACUCAUGCAGUGUGUUUAAUGGAGCUAAGAACUAAGCAGCUUAUGAAUCUGUUCCUCCGUGGAGCAUUUAUUGCAUUUAAAGUAAGCCGGAUGUUCUUCUAUAGAUCAGGCACUGAUGGUUCAGCAUCUUUAAAUCAAUAUGUAGCUGCUUCAGGGCAUCUGGUACGAUGGAUUUUCACACCUAUGCCAUAAAUAAAAUUUCUGAAAGUUGGCAGAGACAACACAGGGAGAUACUAUUUACCCACAUUACUCAACAGAGUAGACUGUUAUCAUCGAUAAACAACCGAGAAGUGCAUCUGCUAAACACAUGAAGGCUGUGAUACGAUUUUACAUCUGUAUAUACUGAUAAACUGCUCACAGAAGGUUAAAAUGAUGAGGAUAUCAAAGGCGCUAAUGGGCUGGGAAAGAAAAGAAUAGACAGAUGCAAAAUCCGAUUAAAUGAAAUAAUAAAUAAUACAUUUGAUCUAAUUUUCUCUCCGCUCUCACAUCUUUUGCCUUUUGUGUUUCAGACAUUCGUAAAUCUUCUGAGCAGCUCUUGUAAACGUUCCUCUGUCCAUGUCUGCACGCGUGUGGUGAGCUGACAUUACAUUGGUUUUAUUAUUAAAUCUACAGGAAGGAUAAAAGGCUCCUUUGACCACACUCUAUGGGAGAUGGAGAUAAAAGCUCAUGACAGCAGCCCAUGAGCAAUAUUAUCAGGGAAGACAAAUUUAAUCACAGGACCUAUUAACAUGAGAUCACAACUUUUACACAUAUUGUAAUAUCUCUAUUAGGUGUGUUUAAAUAUUAAAUACAAUAACAUUUGUACUAAAUAUUUGGGUUGACCUUCACAGGACUUGAAUACAUUCACUAUUCAGGUUUUAGGUGCAUAAAAUGCUACUUAUUAUGUUAACCCAUUCAAUUACAUUUACUUAGUAGAAAAUGCAUCCACAUACAGUAUAGACCUAUAUUAUGUGCUGCCCACAGCUCUGUCCCUAAGGUAUUAUACUUUAUAAUUACUCUAAAUAAGGGUUCUACAAAAUAUUCAGCCAAGCAGAAAUAAGUGAGCAUCGCUGAAUGGUUUGAAAGGCAAACUUCACUCGAAACCCUUCAGAGGUAGAAGCUGGUGAUGACGCAUGCUCAGGAGCACACAUUUAGAAAUAAAUUAAAAUCUACUAAAAGAAGUUACUGCAGCUUUAACUGACAGGCGUAGGAGAGCUAUCAAGCUGCUGAUCUAACGCUACUCAAAGGGGAAAUUGCAUUUCCCAAACGCUGAACCACUGUGACGAGAUAGCAAAUAAGAUUGAGGACUGGAUUAGGGAUAGAACACUAUGAAUUUUUAAUAAAGCAGAGCAAAGAGUCGGCGUCAUUCCACAUUCGUUAAAAGGUUCUAUUUCUAUUAUAUUUAAGCGUAUGUUACAUAAACUUCUAUGCAUGAUUCACGAGACUGGGUAAAUGUGAAACAGGGGUUUUGUGUUUGAGGGAGGACGAGAAGCUUCGGUUACAUCACGUUCGCCUCUGUGUGAAGCACAUAUAUGACAUCAGGUGUAAACGUGGGUGCAGGUCUCCUGAAAUGCUAUGACGGUGGAGUGGAGUUGAGGAGCAGAGGGAAGCAGGCAGGAAUCAGCGGCUCCCAGCUGGCUGAUUUCAAGGCACGGUGCACAACGCACGCCCACGCAACGAGCUGAGCUGUGGUGCCACCGUAGAACGAGCUCCCGUUUCACUGCACCGGGAACACACAGGUUCAUCCGGCCCCGCUUGCAGCAGUGCAUUUUCCAGCAUUUGCAUAAGUGGUCGGUUAAAACCUGUUAACUCGGUCUGAAGACAUGAAGAGAUAAUAGUUGGAGGAGAUGCAUGUGAAUGGAAAAGCCAUUUUCAUACAUUUUCCUGCAGCACCCUGCAAUUAUGUCCAGUUGCCAUAGGGACAAAAACAAUGCAAUCAAUUUUGGAUCGCUGGAGACAAUAAGUGAUGAGCAGUUAAAAGCAGGAAUAAAAUACGGUAUACACAUAAUGUUCCAUAGCUUCCUGCCUCAAAAGUGAAUUAAUUUGGAUGAACACUUAUCCGGUUAAGACACUAAUUAACCUCCUGGCCUUCAAGUUUUUGUCUUCCCUGAGUGAUGGAGCCUCCUCAUGGUGGUGGUGCACACAGGGAACACAGGGAACAAAAUGUUCUGGGGAGGAACGAGCAUCUAAAGCACUAAAGUGCAGCUUCCUGUGCUUGUGUCUCCAUCUGCAUGUUCGUGUGACAUGUGUCCGGAGGCGAAGCUGGAAGACUGAAGAGACCACAGUCAGUCAGUCACUCAGAGGACACUGAAUGACCACAUAGGAAACUUGCCAUCAGCUUUAAAAGCCUCCCACGUACAUCCAGCACGCAUGCAGACCCCCCCCCCCGGAGUUUACGUCUGAUGGACUGGUGUUGACAGCGGGAGCCUCUGAUGACUCACCAGCCAGGCCUCUGUGAGUCACGUGAGCGUUCUGAUCACCAUUUAUCACCGCCCUUACGACCCCACCUGACGUCCCUUUCUGCCACGUUUGUCCAAUAAAAUCCUCAUUUCACACUGAAACACGGACGGCUCCACCUGUGCCUGUGCCCACGGACUCAGGAAAGCUCGAUGACAUUAUCAUUAUUUCAAAGCAGGAGGAAAAAGGAAACUGAGGGAUUUCCAGGAGGAGAGCGUGACUCCCUGAGGAGCUCAUCUGUUCUUGGGGAACGUGGCUCUGAACUAAACCGAUGACAGCACAUGUUCACCUCAUUACACAUGCAGAAAAUUCUCCAUCCGCUAUCACGCACUGAAUAUUCCCAUAUUAUAACGCUCUUCAUAUCUUUGGCUCAGGUUUUGUCAAAACCGUGCACAACGUUAGAGAAGGAUGUCUAAUACUUCAAAUUAAUUUAUUUCAUAUCUUCAUACUGCAGAAAAGCUCAUUUUCACCCUCCCUCCUCCUCCGCCUGUGGCUGCACACCUCUACCAGCUCCUGCUUUAUUCCUCUCUCUAAUAUUUCCCUCUAUCUCUUGGAGACAAGAGAUGCUGCCUCCACUUUGCUCUGAAGAGCUGACACAGUUCAUUCCCCUGCGCCAUAUUGGCAGUGCCACCCUGCACAAAUCCAGCUCUCCGGGCUAUCGGCUUCAUCUGCGAUUUCUCAGCUUGACGCAGACGGGAGCCGAGCGACACACGUGCUGCCGUCGAAUUCAGGCAGUCGUCCGUUCGGGGCCAAAGCUGAAUGAAGGAGAUGCAAUCUGUAGCAGCAGAGAGCAUAUCUGUAGCACGGAAGCAGCCUUAAACUGGAUGCGGAAGGAACUGGAUGAGCAACAGAGGCGUCUCGUCCUGAGGUCACUGUGUUUUCGGCCUUGCGUGAAGCCUUAACAACGACCUGACAUUUUCACAAAAUGACAAAAACAUGACCUCAGCGCUUCCGACAUUAGGGCUAAUCCUGCAAAACCCCCGUCCUCGAGCCCGUGCUGCGCCCUGCGCGUUGCUCAUUUACGCUGCCAGAGACGAGCCCGGCGCCGAAGGUUAACUGGUGAAUGAGCUUCAUCCUGAGGGACAGCUCCCUAUAAAGGUCCAAACGGAGCCUGCGUGGGGUGGGAGCGCCACGGCGAAUAUGUCGCACACACAGGACAGUGCUCCUCCGUCCACUUCCAUCCCUGGUGAGAAGCUGAGCAGAAACCUCCAUCCACACUUUAAUGAGUCAGACGACAUAACAGGUGAUAAAACCAAGACAAAUCUGUUUUUCCUUCCGUCGCAGUGAAAACACGAACCUUGUAACAAUGAUGCAAUAACUCUUUUUAAGAGCCUCCAAGACAAAAUAUCUGAUUUUCUAAACUGCUCAUUAAUAAACAUGGAAAGGCCAAAUGCACUGAAUAACAAAAAAGAAUGAAAGUGCAUGCUUCACAUCCAAUCCUAUGUCUUAGUUAAAAAUAGGAACCAUGAGCUUCACAUGAAAGUGAAUUUCUGAUCACAGGUUGAGAAAGAGGGAGUCACAGCAGCAGAAGGGUGCAGACCACCCAUCUGCGGGGUUAUUCUGACAGCAGAACAAUGCGUGCUGUCCUGAGCGGCCGUCUUCUCGCUUCUCCCGCUGAACGAUAAUUAGUAGAGAAAUAAAGCAGAACACCCACAGUUAAGCUCGUAAUUGGCUGCUGCCUCCCAUUAGUCUUAGCUUUUGCUUUGUUGUCACCAGGAAACCGGUGCAAAUUGUACAAGCCUGUGUGUUUAUUUUUAGUCAUUCCAGGUAAAGUAGGGGCAUGGCUAAGAAUUCUGGGAAACGUGCUUUUUAGAUAUAAUAAUCAUAGUGAGCAUUUAGUUGAUGCACGCCAAAAAAACUGUACAGACUUCCAUGGUGUGAAUGUGAAUCACAUGGUCUGGACUGUUAUUCUAACGAGUCCAUCACCGCAAGGUCAGUCAUUUCACUCUUAGAUCAAUCCUCUACAUGGAUUCAUCUAAGAGUGAAUUCAAAUGUGAACUAUUAAAGAUCAGGUGUGUUGCGUCUAAACGCCUGUUGGUGAAUGUUACAGGAUUAUUAAACACAUUCAUUUUUUUACUGACACCUGGCUGCAGCGGGAGCAAGGUGUCAGCCUGGAUGAGUCAUCGCCCCUAACGUCAGACUAAUUUCCUACAUUCGCAGGUCAGUGUGGAGGAGUAGCAGCAAUCUUCCCCUCAAACGUAUGAUCGGCCUUGGACCUGACCUCAUUUCAGAGCCUCUCACAUUUAGCUCAUUUAUUAGAUUUUCUAUCCGAGCGCAGAUGAAGCACUUACAUUGGGUGAUUUGAAUAUUCAUGUAGAUGUGGACAAUAACUGGCUCAACCAGACCUGUUUGGUUUUACUCAGACGCACAAAUGCACCCGCUGUUUUAAACACUCUCGGCCUUAGACAUUAAAUAUUAAUCACUUGCUUGUACGCUGUUUGUGCAGACUGAGCAAUGUUACACAGCUCCCGUGUUAAAGCAGGGGAGCAGAGCGGCCGUUGUACCUGCUGAACGUCAGAAUGGCAGCAGUUCACAGUCACAUGGAGCAAACAACAGCGCUGGCUUUUCAACAGAAGCCUCGCACACACAGGACGUGCAGAGCUGCGCUGGCGGCUGCUUUCCGCUCCAACCAGCUACAGCGCGUGUUAAACUGUAAUUGUAAUCCCGAGAACGCUGCAUGAAGCAGUUCGCAGCACUUCCAAAUAUAACCUGCGCGCAUGAUUAAGGUGUGACGGUGACAAAAGCAAACAAAGGCCCAGGAGUGUGCCGCCCGUGCUGUGCGUUGGCACUUAAAGCGACACAGUGCCCCCGGUGCUGGGUGCAUUCGUCAUGCUGCAGCAGCGAGCGCUGUGCUGGUGCCUGCGACCCGAGCCUCUCAGGACUUGAGGAGAAGCUGAGAUGACAAGUGGGUUCGACUGCGUCAGUGUCCUUUGAAGCAGCCUCAGAAGAGGGAGGAAAUCAGAGCGGGGGAAGUUUCCCGAGAGGUGGCCCCCUUUACAUGUCACCUCCUGGCAUGCAGAUGCUGGCUUCUGCCUCGGGCUGCUUCCUGAAGGACCGCUACGGGGAUGAUGCUAACCUAAUAUGUACACAACGGAUGUAUGUUCAAGGAAAAAAAACACAAUAAUAGAAUAUAUGAUAAAAACUCAGAGGAUGUUUGUUUGGGAAGCAUGAGGUUUUCUUCUUUAUGAUGCAGACAAAGGAAACAUAAUCUCACUGAACACACACACAGGUGUGUCUGAGGAAAGCUUUUACAGAAUAUACUCCACUCACUCUCACUCCCUGGUGGAUAAAGACAAAUCCAUCUCUCCCGUCUUUCUUCCCCCACACAGUCUUUCUUCCUCCGCGCCCAUCCCCCCACCUAACCAGGGAGUGCUCUGGUAAAUAAUUGAGGCUUUCUCCCUGUUUGCUACUGUGGCAUCUCUGCUUUUUCUGGCUGUAACCAACUAUGUAUUGAUUGAGUUGAUCCUGAAUUAAAAAGCAUGAAGAUGAAGUAGAGAAGGAAUAUGUUUUGACAUUUGAUAUGUUUGAUGGUGGAUGCUGUACACUGCCUGUGAGAGAACAGAGUUCAUGCCUUGGGUUGAUAAGUGUAGUAUAUUUAUGUAUCAUAAUAUAUUUUAUUAUAUGUAUACUGUGUCUGCUGCACUUCUGAAGAAUUAACUGUCUGUUCUGGUCAUGUUAAGGUUGCAAUGACUGUUCUAUAACUCUUGUAUUUUGGCAGAGUCGUCUGAAUGUUUGGGAUAGAAUCCAAAAACAAAUACUAACACUUUGUGUGUGUCUGUAUCAGGAGCUUCAAAAUAUCAUUACAUAGAAUCUAACAUGUGCAGAUAAGGCUAUUUAAAACAUUGGUUUUGUCUUAUACAGACCAGCAGUUCCUGUGUAAAUGGUUUAUUGCUAAUCCAGCACACAAAUACUUUAAGAGGAGAUAUGAAGUAUUCGAUACAUAAUGAUGCCUCUCCGGUCCAAGGUAGCAUUGUAAAGUUUCCCUCUCCAAUGCAAUGCAAUGAAAAAAGGAAACCUAACCUGACACCAUUUUUUAAACCUGCAGUGGCAGAAAACUAAAGCUUUUCCAAGUGACAUCUACAUGAAGGUUUGCUGACACCUGCUGUCCGAUGCAGGAAGUACUUCAUUCAGUCCAGUCACUAGAAACACUGUAAUAGGUGAUAUGUGUGUUUGGCCACUGUAAAUCAUCUCAUCACUGUUUUUUUAAACUAAUCAAUUAAAGGCAGAAUUACUUUAAA